rnacentral:ncRNA from 1 species
UACCUGAUGAUUCUGUCAGCGCGAUAUGCUCAAGUAAAAAGAUUAAGCCAUGCAUGCUUUGAUUCAUUAAAUGAAAUUGCGUACGGCUCAUUAGAGCAAGAUAUCACCUUUCUCGGAAUCCUGAAAAAGGAUAACUGCGGGAAAUUCUGGAGCUAAUACAUGCGACUAUACUCCAACGCAAAGGCGGGGUGCAAAUUAUUAGAACAGACCAAACGUUUUCGGACGUUGUUUGUUGACUCUGAAUACCGUCGUUUACUGUCAGUUUCGACUGACUCUAUCCGAGAAGGGUGUCUGCCCUUUCAACUAGAUGGUAAUCUAUUGGACUACCAUGGUUGUUACGGGUAACGGAGAAUUAGGGUUCGACUCCGGAGAGGGAGCCUUAGAAACGGCUACCACGUCCAAGGAAGGCAGCAGGCGCGAAACUUAUCCACUGUUGAGUAUGAGAUAGUGACUAAAAAUAUAAAGACUCAUCCUUUUGGAUGAGUUAUUUCAAUGAGUUGAAUAUAAAUUAUUCUUCGAGUAGCAAGGAGAGGGCAAGUCUGGUGCCAGCAGCCGCGGUAAUUCCAGCUCUCCUAGUGUAUCUCGUUAUUGCUGCGGUUAAAAAGCGUCGUAGUUGGAUCUAGGUUACGUGCCGCAGUUCGCAAUUUGCGUUAACUGUGGUCGUGACUUCUAAUUUGCUGGUUUGAGGUUGGGUUCGCCCUUCAACUGCCAGCAGGUUACCUUGAAUAAAUCAGAGUGCUCAAUACAGGCGCUUGCUUGAAUAGCUCAUCAUGGAAUAAUGAAACAGGACUUCGGUUCUUUUUGUUGGUUCUAGAAUUGAUCUAAUGGUUAAGAGGGACAAACCGGGGGCAUUCGUAUCAUUACGCGAGAGGUGAAAUUCGUGGACCGUAGUGAGACGCCCAAUAGCGAAAGCAUUUGCCAAGAAUGUCUUCAUUAAUCAAGAACGAAAGUCAGAGGUUCGAAGGCGAUUAGAUACCGCCCUAGUUCUGACCGUAAACGAUGCCAUCUCGCGAUUCGGAGGGUUCAUGCCCCUACCGAGGAGCUACCCGGAAACGAAAGUCUUUCGGUUCCGGGGGUAGUAUGGUUGCAAAGCUGAAAC